rnacentral:rRNA from 1 species
UAGUCCACGCCGUAAACGAUGAGGGUUAGGCUUUGGAGACUUAUCAUUCAGAGUCGUAGUUAACACGUUAAACCCUCCGCCUGGGGAGUACGGUCGCAAGACUAAAACUCAAAGGAAUUGACGGGGACCCGCACAAGCGGUGGAGCAUGUGGUUUAAUUCGAAGGUACGCGAAAAACCUUACCGGCUCUUGACUGUUAGAUUUUAUCCCUAAGAAACUAGGGAGUCAGUUCGGCUGGGUCUAACACAGGCGCUGCAUGGCCGUCGUCAGCUCGUGUCGUGAGAUGUUGGGUUAAGUCCCGCAACGAGCGCAACCCUCGCCCUUAGUUGCUAACAGGUAAUGCUGAGUUCUUUAAGGGGACUAGCGGUGAAAACCGCAGGAGUGGGGAUGACUCCAGGUCCUCAUGGCCCUUACGGGCCGGGCUACACAUGUGCUACAAUGGUGACUACAAAAAGUUGCAAAAUCGUAAGAUGGAGCGAAUCUCUAAAAGUCAUCUCAGUUCGGAUCGACCUCUGCAACUCGAGGUCGUGAAGUUGG